CUGACAGUCAUAGGAGGAGAGAAACCCUCAGAUGCAUCACCUUCAGCACUUCCACUGAAAAUCCUUACAGAAAGAAUGAACCCCAUAGGCGUAAACCCAAGCUUCUAGCACAGCUGCACCUGGAAACACAGCACAGCUGUCAGCUGGGGAAGAACGGAGAUUUUCAGUUUGCAAAGGAAACUGAGUCACACACUCUUUUCUACUUUGAUACAACACACUUGACAGCUGAUGGACAUGCAAAGAGAGAAGCACGGCUUUGCAGUUUUGUCGUGUGAUGUGUUACCUCUCCACAGA